GACGAACGCUGGCGGCGUGCUUAACACAUGCAAGUCGAACGGAAAGGCGCUGCUUUUGUGGGGUGCUCGAGUGGCGAGCGGGUGUGUAACACGUGAGUAACCUGCCCUUGACUUUGGGAUAACUUCAGGAAACUGCGGCUAAUACCGGAUAGGAGCUCCUGCUGCAUGGUGGGGGUUGGAAAGUUUCGGCGGUUGGGGAUAGACUCGCGGCUUAUCAGCUUGUUGGUGGGGUAGUGGCUUACCAAGGCUUUGACGGAUAGCCGGCCUGAGAGGGUGACCGGCCACAAUGGGACUGAGAGACGGAGCAGACUCCAAUGGGAGGCAGCAGUCGGGAAUAUUGCACAAUGGGCGGAAGCCUGAUGCAGCAACGCCCCGAGCGGAAUGACCGCUUUCGGGGUGUAAACCGCUGUCGCCUGUGACGAAGCGUGAUUGACGGUAAUGGGUAAAGAAGCACCGGCUAACUACGUG
rnacentral:rRNA from 1 species